UCGGGAGAAAGAUUUAUCGGCAAGAGAUGAGCCCGCGUUGGAUUAGCUAGUUGGUGGGGUAAAGGCCUACCAAGGCGACGAUCCAUAGCUGGUCUGAGAGGAUGAUCAGCCACACUGGGACUGAGACACGGCCCAGACUCCUACGGGAGGCAGCAGUGGGGAAUAUUGGACAAUGGGCGCAAGCCUGAUCCAGCCAUGCCGCGUGAGUGAUGACGGUCUUAGGAUUGUAAAGCUCUUUCACCGGUGAAGAUAAUGACGGUAACCGGAGAAGAAGCCCCGGCUAACUUCGUGCCAGCAGCCGCGGUAAUACGAAGGGGGCUAGCGUUGUUCGGAUUUACUGGGCGUAAAGCGCACGUAGGCGGACUUUUAAGUCAGGGGUGAAAUCCCAGAGCUCAACUCUGGAACUGCCUUUGAUACUGGAAGUCUUGAGUAUGGUAGAGGUGAGUGGAAUUCCGAGUGUAGAGGUGAAAUUCGUAGAUAUUCG
rnacentral:rRNA from 1 species